GCUUCCAUAGCUCAGUUGGUUAGAGCGUCGUACUAAUACUUCAGAUUACAACGAAUUGUUGGUGAUGCGAAGGUCUCAGGUUCAAGCCCUGGUGGGAGCA
rnacentral:tRNA from 1 species